AACGAACGCUGGCGGCAUGCCUAACACAUGCAAGUCGAACGAGACCUUCGGGUCUAGUGGCGCACGGGUGCGUAACGCGUGGGAACCUGCCCUUAGGUUCGGAAUAACUCCCCGAAAGGGGUGCUAAUACCGGAUAAUGUCUUCGGACCAAAGAUUUAUCGCCUUUGGAUGGGCCCGCGUUGGAUUAGCUAGUUGGUAGGGUAAAAGCCUACCAAGGCGACGAUCCAUAGCUGGUCUGAGAGGAUGAUCAGCCACACUGGGACUGAGACACGGCCCAGACUGAGGGGGGGGGCAGCGGGGGAGAUUAGAGGGAGAGGGGAGGAAGAGUGAGCGGGCGGUGCGGGGGGAGGGAAGAAGGCUGUAGGGUUGAACAGCUCUUUUGGCGGGGAUAAUAAUGACAGUGAGGGAAAAAAAAGCCCCGGAGAACUUCGUGCCAGCAGGGGGGGAAAAAAGCGGAAGAGCAAACGGCAACAG
rnacentral:rRNA from 1 species